GGAAAAGAUCACCUGUCCCUGCUGUUUUGCAGUGCCAAUCAACUGUACAUAAAUAAUGUUGUGACGGGGACACAGCUGUCCUGAGAAGGCAUCAUAUUCAGACAAGCAUGUGGGAUUGCAGUCGUUACUGUGGGAUUAUCAUGGUUCAGUAAGUCCUGAAAUCCCCCUGCAGUAAAUUCUCUGGAUUCCAACACUGUAUCUCCAUAAGUACCCCCAAACUGUUACCUCUCUGGAGGCAGGAACCCUGUAGGAAGCCUUGCUGCACUUCCAGUAUCUCCCGUCCCUAGCCGUUCUGGACCAGGCCCUUCCCCAGGGCUCCCACAGCACCCUGUACUUAACUC